rnacentral:rRNA from 1 species
UCUGGACAGUACUGACGCUGAGAUGCGAAAGCGUGGGGAGCAAACAGGAUUAGAUACCCUGGUAGUCACGCUGCAAACGAUGUCGAUUUGGAGUUUGUUGCAUAGAGUGAUGGGCUCCGAAGCUAACGCGAUAAAUCGACCGCUGGGGAGUACGGCCGCAAGGUUAAAACUCAAAUGAAUUGACGGGGGCCCGCACAAGCGGUGGAGCAUGUGGUUUAAUUCGAUGCAACGCGGAGAACCUUACCUGGUCUUGACAUCCAUAGAAUUCUGCAGAGAUGUGGGAGUGCCUUCGGGAACUAUGAGACAGGUGCUGCAUGGCUGUCGUCAGCUCGUGUUGUGAAAUGUUGGGUUAAGUCCCGCAACGAGCGCAACCCUUAUUCUUUGUUGCCAGCGAUUUGGUUGGGAACUCAAAGGAGACUGCCGUUGAUAAAGCGGAGGAAGGUGGGGACGACGUCAAGUCAUCAUGGCCCUUACGACCAGGGCUACACACGUGCUACAAUGGCGUAUACAAAGGGAAGCGAAGGUGCGAGCUGGAGCGGAUCUCAUAAAGUACGUCUAAGUUCGGAUUGGAGUCUGCAACUCGACUCCAUGAAGUCGGAAUCGCUGGUAAUCGUAGAUCAGAAUGCUACGGUGAAUACGUUCCCGGGCCUUGUACACACCGCCCGUCACACCAUGGGAGUGGGUUGCACCAGAAGUAGAUAGCUUAACCGCGAGGGGGGCGUUUACCACGGUGUGAUUCAUGACUGGGGUGAAGUCGUAACAAGGUAACCA